GGGAGACAUCAGCUGGAGAUUGAGAUGGAAGGAUGACUAUGAGUAUGAGCUAUUAUAGAAACCGUGGAAUCUUUGGCUGUCUAUGAAACAAUUUCCCUGGGAAAAUGACUUGUUUGGACUGUAUUUUCACAAAGCUGCUAUUUCUGGCCCUUAGAAUAUGAUACCUGUUUGUCUUUUAAAACAUAUAUCUAUUCAGAUAGGACAAAAUUCCUUUUCACUACAGUAUUGGGAGCCUGGAACUAGAGUUACCACCCCUCUGCGUUAAAGAAGGAGCUGUCCUGAGGCUUCCAUCUCUACUGGGCUUGAGGCAAGAACAUCGUCAGGGGCGACCUGCUCUUGGCCUCUGUGCCCCAGGGAUUGCAAAUGUAUUUUCCUCAAAGGUAAGGGCUGUAUCAUUCGGCUUUCUUUGUAUUCACAGGUACAGCUUGUGCUAGGCAGCCGGUGUUCAAUAAAUAUCGUGCCUAAGGAUAAA
rnacentral:lncRNA from 1 species